rnacentral:rRNA from 1 species
UACAGAGGGGGCAAGCGUUGUUCGGAAUUACUGGGCGUAAAGGGCGCGUAGGCGGCCUGUUAAGUCGAACGUGAAAUCCCCGGGCUCGACCCGGGAACUGCGUCCGAUACUGGCAGGCUUGAAUCCGGGAGAGGGAUGCGGAAUUCCAGGUGUAGCGGUGAAAUGCGUAGAUAUCUGGAGGAACACCGGUGGCGAAGGCGGCAUCCUGGACCGGUAUUGACGCUGAGGCGCGAAAGCCAGGGGAGCAAACGGG